GAGGGGGGCAAAURUUGUUCGGAAUCACUGGGCGUAAAGGGAACGUAGGCGGGUUYUUAAGUAAGRUGUUUAAUCCCGGGGCCCAACCCCGGACCGGCACUUUAAACUGGGAAUCUUGAAUAGUGGAGAGGUCAGUGGAAUUGGAGGUGUAGCGGUGGAAUGCGUAGAGAUCUCCAAGAACACCAGUUGCGAAGGCGGCUGACUGGACACAUAUUGACGCUGAGGCUCGAAAGCAUGGGGAGCAAACAGGAUUAGAUACCCUGGUAGUCCAUGCCAUAAACGAUGAAUACUAGGUUUUGGGCCCGUCAACGGUCCAGAGCCGCAGCUAACGCGUUAAGUAUUCCACCUGGGGAGUACGGUCGCAAGACUG
rnacentral:rRNA from 1 species